GGGACCCUGUGGGAGGUAAUUGAAUCAUGGGAACAGAUCUUUCCUGUGCUGUUUUCGUGAUAGUGAAUAAGUCUCACAAGAUCUGAUGGCUUUAUAAGGUGGAGUUUCCCUGCACAAACUCUCUCUCUCUUUGCCUGCUGCCAUCCAUGUAAGACAUGACUUGCUCUUCCUUGCCUUCUGCCACGAUUGUGAGGCCUCCCCAGCCAUGUGGAAUUUUAGGUACAUUAAACCUCUUUCUUUGGUAAAUUGCCCAGUCUUGGGUAUGUCUUUAUCAGCAGCAUGAAAACAGACUACUAUAGGGAAUAAAUAUUUGCUGAACAAUAAUGUAAAUUAUCUCAGCCCCCCUCAAAUGCUUCUGUGGGCUCCACCAGUGACUUCCAUUUGCUUCUUAUUGGCUGUUCCUUUUUGCAAGGGAGGUUGUGAAAUACAUAAUUUUUUGGCCAAGUGUACUGCUGCCCCUUAAAAUAUAGGAGUUAAGUGAAUGAGAAAAAAAGAGAGAAUGUAAACUGGAUGCUAACAUUCUCUGCUGCAAAAGAAGUUUUUUUCUCAUUCGUCAUUCUUGGAUUCAAUAAAUGUUUUUGAAAGUUUACCAUGAGAAAAGUCCUGUCCUUGAUGAUGUAACUUAUAUGAGCGCACUACAUGGUUGCAGGAAUCCAGGGAGUUAGGCUGGGUUGGGAUGAUGGUUCUUAUUUGUCAGAUGAGGAACUUGAAGUCAGUGGAGAGGAAGUAGCUUUGCUGAGGACCCAUGCUCUGUGAGUGGUAGAUUCAGUUUUGAACCUCAGUAUUCUCUGUCUCAUUCCUUUAUUCAGAAGCAUUUAUCAAGUAGCUACUUGGUGCCAGGGAGAUGAAGACAGAAGGCCCAGAAUGGUUCUUUCCUCUAGGGAGGGAAAGUCACAGGAGAUAAUAUUUGCAACAGAGGAACUUCAGGGGACAUGCUGUGCUGAACCUUCAGGAUGGAGAGGACUGGUGCAGGGAGAUAUGUCAGGUUGGAAAUAGGAAUGUGUCAAGAAAAGGCUUUGAGAUGGAGGAAACUGCCCUGAAGGAGGUUUAAGAGUGUGUAAAAGGCCUGAAGAGGUAAUAAGAGGUCAAACGUUGAAGAGGUCUGAAAGCUAUCCUGCUGAGGAAUUUGCACUUAAUCCUGAGAGUUAUGUGGAACAGGUCAGUGGCAGACCAAUGUUUAUGUUUUGGCAGUGAUGUGCAGGAUGGAUUGGAGAGAGCAAAAGUAGAGCCUGAGAUGCUAGUUGAGUUUCUGAGAGUAGUGUAAGUGAUGACAAAAGUUUGAGCCAAAGAACUGGCCAUGAGGAGGAGAAAGAUUCCAGAAUCAUUUAGAAAGGCCAUUUGGAUAUGGGAGCCAAGGAAGAGGAAUUGCUUAGUUCAGCAGUUCUCAGCCCUGGCUAUGCUUAAACAAUAUAAAGACACUCAAGCCUUGGAAAUUUUGAUUCAGUUAAGUCUGGAACGGAGCUAGACAUGGAAUCUUAUUAGAGAGUGGGCCUGUUGGGCAGCUGCCUGACCAGUUUAUAAGAAACCCUAAAACGUCCUUAGAGCAAGUUGGAAAUCUCCUGCUAACUGGUGAAAGAUAGACUCACUCCUAUUGAACUUGGAAGCACCCUCUCAUGAAAAUAAUAAAAUAUUCCUCUCUAGCACCAACCUGUCUCAGUUGACUGAGUUGAGUGUUUCCUACUUGCAAGGUCCGCAGUGUAACCAGAGGCUCUGCCAACAACCUGGGAGCAGCCAACCACCAAUCAACCAAAAUUUGGAAAGUAACAAAACAAGAAGUGUUGUUUCCUAGAAGGGAGGGAUUUACUGGUUAUCUAAAUUUAAAACCCUUUAAUACAGUUUCCAAGAAGUUGCCUAGUUCAGGAAAAAAAAAAAAAAAAA
ensembl:lncRNA